rnacentral:lncRNA from 1 species
AGUGUCUCAUUUAUGCCAAAAUUUUUUAAAAACUAUUAAUAUCUAAAUAUAAAGUCCAAUCCAACAAAAAAUAAAAAUGUUACUCUACUCAACCCACCCCACCCAGCCCAUUCAGCCUGAUUACAAACAGAAAAGAAAAGAAAAAAAAAAAAAUCGAUUACCAUCUCCCUUUCUCCCCUCACUCAAUCCAAUGAAAUCCUAGACGAAGAGCCCUUCCCUCUCCUCCUCCUCCGCCACCGCAGCCAACG